UACGUAGGCAGCGAGCGUUGUUCGGAGUUACUGGGCGUAAAGGGUGUGUAGGCGGCCUAUUAAGUUUGGUGUGAAAUCUCCCGGCUCAACUGGGAGGGUGCGCCGAAUACUGAAUGACUCGAGUGCGGGAGAGGAGAGUGGAAUUCCUGGUGUAGCGGUGAAAUGCGUAGAUAUCAGGAGGAACACCGGUGGUGUAGACGGCUCUCUGGACCGUAACUGACGCUGAGACACGAAAGCGUGGGUAGCAAACAGG
rnacentral:rRNA from 1 species